rnacentral:rRNA from 1 species
GACGAACGCUGGCGGCGUGCUUAACACAUGCAAGUCGAACGGAAAGGCCCUGCUUUUGUGGGGUGCUCGAGUGGCGAACGGGUGAGUAACACGUGAGUAACCUGCCCUUGACUUUGGGAUAACUUCAGGAAACUGGGGCUAAUACCGGAUAGGAGCUCCUGCUGCAUGGUGGGGGUUGGAAAGUUUCGGCGGUUGGGGAUGGACUCGCGGCUUAUCAGCUUGUUGGUGGGGUAGUGGCUUACCAAGGCUUUGACGGGUAGCCGGCCUGAGAGGGUGACCGGCCACAUUGGGACUGAGAUACGGACCAGACUCCUACGGGCGGCAGCAGUGGGGAAUAUUGCACAAUGGGCGGACGCCUGAUGCAGCAACGCCGCGUGCGGGAUGACGGCCUUCGGGUUGUAAACCGCUUUCGCCUGUGACGAAGCGUGAGUGACGGUAAUGGGUAAAGAAGCACCGGCUAACUACGUG